rnacentral:rRNA from 1 species
AGUCACUGACAUUAGAUACCCGUGUAGUCCAGGGUGUAAACGCUGCAGACUUGGUGUUGGGAGCCCUUCGGGGGUGCUCAGUGCCGGAGAGAAGUUGUUAAGUCUGCUACUUGGGGAGUACGUCCGCAAGGAUGAAACUUAAAGGAAUUGGCGGGGGAGCACCGCAACGGGAGGAGCGUGCGGUUUAAUUGGAUUCAACGCCGAAAAACUCACCAGCAGCGACUGUUACAUGAAAGUCAGGUUGAUGACCUUACUAGAUUUUCAG